rnacentral:lncRNA from 1 species
GAGGAAGAGUUCUCUGACUCUGAUGAGGUGAGAGAGGGUGGCCACAAGAACUCUUCCAACUUCAAAAAAGCCAAGAGAGUCAAAACAGGAUGGAAAAGAGAAAGACCUAGAUGAGAAGAGCAAAGUCACAGAAGAGGAGAAAACCAAGGAGGAGAAGCCAGAAGCCAAAGGGGUCAAGGAGGAGGUCAGGUUGGCCUGAGCAGACCUCUCCAGCUCUGGCUUCUUGCCAAGUCCCCUGCCUUUCUCCACCAACACCUCAGAUUUUAUGCUUUCUAUUUCUCUGUGUAUUUAUAGGAAAGUUUAUUAAAUAUAAAUAUCCCCAGGGACUAGACAGAAACCAAGGCCCUGAGCCCAGGGCAGCUAUGCUGGGUGAACUCUUCUAGGAGCUGCCUUGCCACCCAUCCUUCCAUCCUUCCCCAGUUCUUAACUUUGAACCAUAAAGAGUACCAGGUUUGGGUGAAAGGGAUACUUUCAUGCAACCAUAAGACAAAAUCCUGAAAAUGCCAAAUGCCUGCUUAGUAGCUUUGGAAAGGUACCCUUAUUGAACAUUCUAGAAGGGGUGGCCAGGUCUUCAAGGGUCUCCCGUUCUUUUCAGGCUGCUAAUGUAACAUCAGCCAUUUUUAGAUUGGCUCUGUCCUCAUACCUUCCCAGUGGCCUCAGGUGAGCCAAGAAACUCACACUGCCUGCCCUUUGUCUUCCCCUAAUUCUGCAGGUGGAGGUUGGUGGUCUAGUUUCCUUUUUGAGAUACCGUUUUCAUUUUUGAGACCUUUGUAAUAAAAUGGUACAUUUCUAUACAAAAAAAAAUAA